rnacentral:rRNA from 1 species
GACGAACGCUGGCGGCGUGCUUAACACAUGCAAGUCGAACGGAAAGACCCUGCUUUUGUGGGGUGCUCGAGUGGCGGACGGGUGAGUAACACGUGAGUAACCUGCCCUUGACUUUGGGAUAACUUCAGGAAACUGGGGCUAAUACCGGAUAGGAGCUCCUGCUGCAUGGUGGGGGUUGGAAAGUUUCGGCGGUUGGGGAUGGACUCGCGGCUUAUCAGCUUGUUGGUGGGGUAGUGGCUUACCAAGGCUUUGACGGGUAGCCGGCCUGAGAGGGUGACCGGCCACAUUGGGACUGAGAUACGGCCCAGACUCCUACGGGAGGCAGCAGUGGGGAAUAUUGCACAAUGGGCGGAAGCCUGAUGCAGCAACGCCGCGUGCGGGAUGACGGCCUUCGGGUUGUAAACCGCUUUCGCCUGUGACGAAGCGUGAGUGACGGUAAUGGGUAAAGAAGCACCGGCUAACUACGUG